GAUUUGACCUGGGAGAACAAACCAGCUCAGCUCAGGGAGAGUUACUUGUGUAUUAGUCGGGCACCUCUUUAGAUUGCAAGGAGAAGACACACAUUCAGAUUAGGUUAGGUUUGGGGGUUGUCAUCAGGAUACCCAGGGAAGUAAUGCCUCAACGGCCAAACGUGUGUCCCAGAACAACAUCUGAGGCGGCUAAGAGCUCAAAAGGGCUCCAGGAGAACAAGCACAAGGGUCAGUUGUUGUCCAAGCGUGAGCAACUUUCAUUCACGCCCUGCUAUACGCUAGAUGCUAGUAUGUAGUCUUUAAUAAUGAUAGAGGAAGAUAGAGUGUCUGAUCUUGAGAAGCCAGUAAAUCGCUAAGGUAGCAUAUCGGGAAAUAGCCACUUCAAUCCUGGCUGGAAAGUAGAGAGCAAAGGCCAGGAGAGAGGAGUGUACUAGGAAGGUAAACAAGCACAGAUGGUAGAAAAAAUUAUACUGCACGCAGAGGAAUGUGGACUUCAUUCCACAUAAGUGAGUAACAUCAUGUACCAAUAAGAAGAGAAACUGGGUGGC
rnacentral:lncRNA from 10 species